CCCGCCUGCCCUGUGACUAUAUGUUUAACGGCCGCGGUAUUUUGACCGUGCAAAGGUAGCGCAAUCACUUGUCUUUUAAAUGGAGACCUGUAUGAAUGGCAAGACGAGGGCUAAGCUGUCUCCUUUUCCAAGUCAGUGAAAUUGAUCUCCCCGUGCAGAAGCGGGGAUAUUCUCAUAAGACGAGAAGACCCUAUGGAGCUUUAGACACUAGACAGCCCAUGUUAAACAACCUACCUUAAAGGUAAGAACUUAGUGGCCCCUCGUUUAAUUGUCUUCGGUUGGGGCGACCGCGGGGGAAAAAACAGCCCCCAUGUGGAAUGGGAGCAUGAUCUCCUAAAGCCGAGAAUAACUUUUCCAAGCAACAGAAAUUCUGACCAAAUAUGAUCCGGCAAUGCCGAUCAACGAACCCAGUUACCCUAGGGAUAACAGCGCAAUCCUCUCCCAGAGUCCCUAUCGACGAGGGGGUUUACGACCUCGAUGUUGGAUCAGGACAUCCUAAUGGUGCAGCCGCUAUUAAGGG
rnacentral:rRNA from 1 species